CCUACGGGUGGCUGCAGUGGGGAAUAUUGCACAAUGGGGGAAACCCUGAUGCAGCGACGCCGCGUGAGUGAAGAAGUAAUUCGUUAUGUAAAGCUCUAUCAGCAGGGAAGAAAAUGACGGUACCUGAGUAAGAAGCCCCGGCUAACUACGUGCCAGCAGCCGCGGUAAUACGUAGGGGGCAAGCGUUAUCCGGAUUUACUGGGUGUAAAGGGAGCGUAGACGGCAGUGCAAGUCUGGAGUGAAAGGCGGGGGCCCAACCCCGGGACUGCCCUUGGAACUGCAUGGCUGGAGUGCGGGAGGGGCAGGCGGAAUUCCUGGUGUAGCGGUGAAAUGCGUAGAUAUCAGGAGGAACACCGGCGGCGAAGGCGGCCUGCUGGACCGCGACUGACGUUGAGGCUCGAAAGCGUGGGGAGCGAACAGGAUUAGAUACCCGUGUAGUC
rnacentral:rRNA from 1 species